AGUGAACGCUGGCGGUAGGCCUAACACAUGCAAGUCGAACGGCAGCACAGUAAGAGCUUGCUCUUACGGGUGGCGAGUGGCGGACGGGUGAGGAAUACAUCGGAAUCUACUUUUUCGUGGGGGAUAACGUAGGGAAACUUACGCUAAUACCGCAUACGACCUACGGGUGAAAGCAGGGGAUCUUCGGACCUUGCGCGAUUGAAUGAGCCGAUGUCGGAUUAGCUAGUUGGCGGGGUAAAGGCCCACCAAGGCGACGAUCCGUAGCUGGUCUGAGGGGAUGAUCAGCCACACUGGAACUGAGACACGGUCCAGACUCCUACGGGAGGCAGCAGUGGGGAAUAUUGGAAAAUGGGCGCAAGCCUGAUCCAGCCAGACCGCGUGGGUGAAGAAGGCCUUCGGGUUGUAAAGCCCUUUUGUUGGGAAAGAAAAGCAGCAGGUUAAUACCCCGCUGUUCUGACGGUACCCAAAGAAUAAGCACCGGCUAACUUCGU
rnacentral:rRNA from 1 species